AGCCGCCGCGGUAAUACGGAGGGUGCAAGCGUUAUCCGGAUUCACUGGGUUUAAAGGGUGCGUAGGUGGGUCUGUAAGUCCGUGGUGAAAUCUCCGAGCUUAACUCGGAAACUGCCAUGGAUACUAUAGGUCUUGAAUACUGUGGAGGUCAGCGGAAUAUGUCAUGUAGCGGUGAAAUGCUUAGAUAUGACAUAGAACACCAAUUGCGAAGGCAGCUGGCUACACAAAUAUUGACACUGAGGCACGAAAGCGUGGGGAUCAAACAGGAUUAGAUACCCUGGUAGUCCACGCCCUAAACUAUGGAUACUCGACAUACGCGAUACACAGUGUGUGUCUGAGCGAAAGCAUUAAGUAUCCCACCUGGGAAGUACGAUCGCAAGAUUGAAACUCAAAGGAAUUGGCGGGGGAGCAC
rnacentral:rRNA from 1 species